UGUGAUAGACACAAAACACAAUCUGCAAAAUGCCAUUUUUCGUUCCUUUUGUUCUCCUUCAUAGUAGUCUUCUUUACACGACAAUUUGAAGCUUUUGUGUUAGGAUUUUGAGAAGGGUUUGUGAAUGAAAAGUGUAGUUGAUGUCUUGGGCUUUAUUUUGGUAGCAAAGUUGCAAUCAUUUCUUUACUGCUGGGAUUUUAAAAGCUGAUUUGAAAAGGGAAGGGUUGGUUGAAUUUCAAGAGGUGUUCUUCAUCUUUUUGCAAAAUUGGUAGCUUACUUUGGAUUGCUUUAAAUUGUUGAUAGCUGGGUUUUCAAGCUGCUAAGAGGUUAUGGACAAGAGGUCGUAGAGGGAUUUCCUCCACAGCCAUGGAUGGAUGUUGGGUUCUAUUUGGUUAUUUAUCUUUGUCUAAAUGGGAAAUGUAUAUUUUGAGACCAGGCUUGGUCAGACAUUUUUGAAUAUGAGCAUUUCUUUGUUCUGUUUUAUAUUCACAACCUGGAUUACGGUUGAGGGUCGUAACACAUCCGAUGCUAGCACAACUUCUGUGGAGCUGUUUCCACAGCGGAACUGAACCGGUGCUCGUGGGAUUGGUCUGAAUGUUUUAGCCGUGGCUAUAGAAGUAUCAGCACAAACAAUGGUGCCCCCUGUACGUAUGCCAUUGAUUAUGAGGGCUUGAGAUGAUGGUAUGGUGGUUGAGAUAAAGAGGGUGAGAGUGAUCAUGACAACAAGGGUUGAAGGAAAGGCCAUUGGUAGGUAAAACUUGAGCUUAAGCUAGUAAUAAGUGAGGUUCUAGUCUUGUGCUUCUUCAAGAGCCUUUUUAACAUGGAAAUUUAUAGGGAAGUAAAGAAAAGGAGAGGACUUUUUAAGUAAUGGGCUAUUAACCAACUUGUCUUGUGGGCCAUAUGUGAAGGCAUUGUGAGAAUAAACACUACUUCUUUGUAAUAUCUUAUUUUGAAGAUUUGUUACCAUAAUAAUACUACAUUUAUUUAGAUUGUUUUAAC